CCAAAGUUUCAUGGAUAUGCAGAUGGAAGAAAAUUGCUACCAUAAAUCACUCCUAAAAGAAAGAGAUUGCAAAAGUAGGACAAGAUUUCAGGUGUUUCUCUGUGUAACAUGGGCAAUACCGUUCCUCUUAACAUCUCUCCUUAACUUCCUCUGAUGUAAGGAAAAGUAUCUAUUUCACUACUGGUCAACUUGGCAGCCAGGAGAAUCCAUGAAGUGCUGAAGCUAUAAGAGCUGGAAGAAUUAACCAAUUCCUGUCACUACAGAGGUUUUCCGUUCCCAAAGUACUAGUACAAGAUGAAGAGGUAUUUAUUAUUGAAAUAUACAUAUAUUAAAAAAACCAAAUUCUCAAAUGCAGCAGCAGCCUAUCUCCAACAGAUGCAACUCAAUGACUUCGUCAGGUUUUGUCCCUUCAAAAAGCUAUUUCUGCAUGCUGUGGGAGUGCUUCAGGAAGGAAAGUAAUGAAGCUAUUGUAAAUAUAUAUGCCUAAAUGUGAAUAUGAAUUAAGGUGUGAUUGAAUAAGUUGUUUUUUUCUAAAUCAAUAAUGUACAAACAUGCUUACUUAUUGGCCGCUUUCUGUUUGCACUGUACACAGGAAAGUAAAAACCAACAGCCUAAAACCAAACAAAAAACCAAACAG